rfam:Schistosoma mansoni strain Puerto Rico chromosome 4, complete genome
AUCUAGCUGACGAGUCCCAAAUAGGAUGAAACUCACUUCCUGAAU